AUGUGUGUGUAUGUCUGUGUGUGUAUGUCAGUAUGUCUGUCAUAGACACACACAGACAUACUGACAUACAUACACAAACAGACAU